CCUACGGGUGGCUGCAGGGGGAAUAUUGCACAAUGGGCGCAAGCCUGAUGCAGCCAUGCCGCGUGUGUGAAGAAGGCCUUCGGGUUGUAAAGCACUUUCAGCGGGGAGGAAGGCGGUGAGGUUAAUAACCUCAUCGAUUGACGUUACCCGCAGAAGAAGCACCGGCUAACUCCGUGCCAGCAGCCGCGGUAAUACGGAGGGUGCAAGCGUUAAUCGGAACUACUGGGCGUAAAGCGCACGCAGGCGGUCUGUCAAGUCGGAUGUGAAAUCCCCGGGCUCAACCUGGGAACUGCAUUCGAAACUGGCAGGCUAGAGUCUUGUAGAGGGGGGUAGAAUUCCAGGUGUAGCGGUGAAAUGCGUAGAGAUCUGGAGGAAUACCGGUGGCGAAGGCGGCCCCCUGGACAAAGACUGACGCUCAGGUGCGAAAGCGUGGGGAGCAAACAGGAUUAGAUACCCGUGUAGUC
rnacentral:rRNA from 1 species